GAUUGAACUUAAGAGUUUGAUCCUGGCUCAGAUUGAACGCUGGCGGCAUGCUUUACACAUGCAAGUCGAACGGUAACAGGGAGCUUGCUCCGCUGACGAGUGGCGAACGGGUGAGUAAUGCAUCGGAACGUACCGUGUAGUGGGGGAUAACGUAGCGAAAGUUACGCUAAUACCGCAUACGCCCCGAGGGGGAAAGUGGGGGACCGCAAGGCCUCACGCUAUAU
rnacentral:rRNA from 1 species